rnacentral:rRNA from 1 species
CCUACGGGAGGCAGCAGUGGGGAAUAUUGCACAAUGGGGGAAACCCUGACGCAGCGACGCCGCGUGAGUGAAGAAGUAUUUCGGUACGUAAAGCUCUAUCAGCAGGGAAGAAAAUGACGGUACCUGACUAAGAAGCCCCGGCUAACUACGUGCCAGCAGCCGCGGUAAUACGUAGGGGGCAAGCGUUAUCCGGAUUUACUGGGUGUAAAGGGAGCGUAGACGGCAGCGCAAGUCUGGAGUGAAAUCCCAUGGCUUAACCAUGGAACUGCUUUGGAAACUGUGCAGCUAGAGUGCAGGAGAGGUAAGCGGAAUUCCUAGUGUAGCGGUGAAAUGCGUAGAUAUUAGGAGGAACACCAGUGGCGAAGGCGGCUUACUGGACUGUAACUGACGUUGAGGCUCGAAAGCGUGGGGAGCAAACAGGAUUAGAUACCCCUGUAGUC